AACUUUCAACAACGGAUCUCUUGGUUCUGGCAUCGAUGAAGAACGCAGCGAAAUGCGAUAAGUAGUGUGAAUUGCAGAAUUCCGUGAAUCAUCGAAUCUUUGAACGCACAUUGCGCCUAUUGGUAUUCCAGUAGGCAUGCCUGUUCGAGCGUCA
rnacentral:rRNA from 1 species